GCGUCCGUAGCUCAGUUGGUUAGAGCACCACCUUGACAUGGUGGGGGUCGGUGGUUCGAGUCCACUCGGACGCACCA
rnacentral:tRNA from 3648 species